rnacentral:lncRNA from 1 species
GAUCAGAAUCAGAAUGUUCUGUGGCAAAAUCUCACUCAGUAGAUGGGAAGGAGAAAAGAGAGAGACCCGCAGAUUGGAGGGCUGGAUAUCACACUGCCAAACAUUUGCAUGGAUUUGAAGACCACACUGUCUGUAAAAGCUGGUGGAGCCCAAGAAUCAUUAGUAACUGACAAAGAACAGCAUGUCUACUCCAGCAGGAUUGUCCUAAUUUCUCCUUGACUGAGGCCAGCACCGAGGAACAAAACAGGAACAAUUGAAGCAUAUUCUUCUCAAGCAGAACAACACUUCUGUGGCGAGAGCUGAAGGAAAUGCAUUGUUUUGAUAGGAAUUUUUUUUAUUAACAGGCUGUUCAAAAUAAACAAAAUGAUUUGAUUCA